AUGGUGUGGAAAGCACCUAUCCCGCUAAAGAUCAAGAUUUUCCUUUGGCAACUAUUUCAAAAUGCCAUCCUUACUCGUGAUAACAUGCGUGCCAGAAAAUGGCCUGGAAAUCCCAGUUGCUCCUUCUGUACUAAUGUUGAAACGGCAAACCAUUUGUUUUUCUCGUGCUCGCUCGCUCGCUCAGUUUGGGGGACGCUGGGUAUGACAGCAGGAGCAUCUUGCUGCCCUCGAUCCCUUUGGCAAAGCUUUGCCUGGCUUUAUAAAUUCUUUCCGGGUGGGAAGCAUUUAUAUAUGAUGAUUAUUGUUGCGAUAUGUUGGGGGAUUUGGAUUCUCCGUAAUAAAGUUACGUUUGAUAAGCAUGUCGUUCGAUCCCCUCUAGAGGCUGUUUUCACGGCAUGCUCUUUUAUGAUGUAUUGGGCAGGUUUGCUGAAGGAAGAGGACAGGGUGAAGCUCCAGGCAGGUGUGAAGAGAUUGGCACAUGCUGCUGCGGCACUGACGGACAGAUCCUUCCCUCGAGACAGGCUGCUCUUGAGAGACAGAGAUGGUUUGCAGAUUGGCUAG
rnacentral:rRNA from 1 species